UCUGCUUCUCCUUCCCCUUCCCUUUCUUCUUUUCCUUCGUUUUCUUCUUAUGGCAGUUUUCCCUAGGGCUAGGGUUUUAGGUUCAUCAUGGGACGCUCCGGUCCAAUAAUUCGGGCGGGCAGGCUCUGGUCGAAUAAUGCCUGCGACAAAACAAAACAAAACCUUCCCCUCUCUUUCUCAAACCCUACCAGAAGAAGGUAAUGCAACGAAGCUGUGAUGACAUUUUUGGUGGAAGAUUUCAGACAUUACUUUAAGGAACAAAUUGAUUGGUUAUUUUCGGCGAGGUAAAUGGGUGUUCUGUGUAAAAGGUUAAUGGACUGUUUAGUCCAUCUGAUUUUUCUUUUUUUGAUCCCUCUAUAUAAUUGUUUUGUAAAUAUAGAGGGAAGAAUUUGGUUGUAAAUGAUAUCAAAUUUUAUUUCCAAGUUGAUUCUAUUAUAUUGUAAA